UAUAUACAUCUAUGGUCGGAACGUCUGGUAGCAUCUCUGGCUGCUGUUGACCUUGUUUUUGGAGUAAAACACGGUGGAAGCUGAAUUAGUGAGGAUGACUCCUGCUCCUGUCAUCUCUAAGCUCCUCACACAUCUUUACCUGCACAUGAGGAAAAUCACUGCUGUAGAAUGCAGAUGUUCAGAGGGAGAUGAUGCCACAUCUGGUCCAGCUGAUGGAAGGUCUUGAAGUUCUCUGACUGGCCUCGACUGAAGAUGGUCGUCUCAUUGGAUUUAAGGUUCAGAUGCUCAGUAACAAACUCCACCAAUGAGCCAACAGGGAAGCUUUAGGUUUAUUAAAUGUUGCUAUGAAGGUUUCGCUGUUUUUCUUUGUGAAUACAAUGUGCUCCACCUGAAACUUGAACUAGAACUUAGAAGUAAAUCCUUCCAUCUGAAAGGAUUUAGUUGCAUUAAUAACCUCAUAACAUUCUAAUUUUUAUUCCAGUCUUGGUUGGAAAUGGAAUCUCUGUAUUGAUUCAGGUAAAAACUGAACUUCACAGCAUGUUGGAGCAGAACAACCAGAUGAAAACUGUGAUGGUGUUGGAUUGUCAGACCGUAAUGUUGCAGCUCAAAGCAGCUUUUCUAGCUCAGUUCAUUCUGACAUUCAGCUAUGAAUCAACACAGCAGAUGGUGAUCCAUGCUGUGGAAGUCUCACAUCUCCUGAUUUAAUGGAGCUGCUUUGCACUUUUUACACUGUUUAUUCACCAACACUUUAUUUAAUAAAAGUCCCAUCUAGUUUUUAUGAGGAAUGUGAUGUUUUAAUUUCUCUGUGAAUAACUGCAGUCUAAUGCAAC
ensembl:lncRNA